AACCUGUAACCGGUACGGGCUCUGAGAGGAGGAGCCCGGAGAUGGGCACUGAGACAAGGGCCCAGGCCCUAUGGGGCGCAGCAGGCGCGAAACCUCUGCAAUAGGCGAAAGCUUGACAGGGUUACUCUGAGUGAUUUCCGUUAAGGAGAUCUUUUGGCACCUCUAAAAAUGGUGCAGAAUAAGGGGUGGGCAAGUCUGGUGUCAGCCGCCGCGGUAAUACCAGCACCCCGAGUGGUCG
rnacentral:rRNA from 1 species